rnacentral:rRNA from 1 species
AAGCGCUUGCAACCAGACUUGCGCGCGGUUGAUCAUCCGGGGUUCUCUCCGGUGCACUCGAUCGUGCUCAGGCCAGCAUCAGUUUCGGUGGCUGGAUAAAGGCUUAGGGAAUGUAGCUCCUCUCGGGGAGUGUUAUAGCCCUGGGCGUAAUGCAGCCUACCGGGACUGAGGACCGCGCUUCGGCUAGGAUGCUGGCGUAAUGGUUGUAAGCGA